AGAGAAUAGAUACCCCGGUAGUCCAUGCUGUAAACGAUGGAUGCUAGCUGUGAUGCGUAUCGACCCGCGUCGUAGCGAAGCUAACGCGUUAAGCAUCCCGCCUGUGGAGUACGGCCGCAAGGCUAAAACAUAAAGGAAUUGACGGGGACCCGCACAAGCGGUGGAGCGUGUUGUUUAAUUCGAUGGUAAGCGAAGAACCUUACCCAGGUUUGACAUCCUUGGAAGUUCUGCGAAAGCAGAGUGUGCCUUCGGGAACCAAGUGACAGGUGAUGCAUGGCCGUCUUCAGCUCGUGUCGUGAGACGUUAGGUUAAGUCCUUCAACGAGCGCAACCCUUAUAGUUAGUUGUAUUUUCUAGCUAGACUGCCUGGUAACAGGGAGGAAGGAGGGGACGAUGUCAGGUCAGUAUCUCCCUUAUAUCUGGGGCUACAAAC
rnacentral:rRNA from 1 species